UACGGAGGGUGCGAGCGUUAAUCGGAAUUACUGGGCGUAAAGCGUGCGCAGGCGGUUCGUUAAGUCAGAUGUGAAAGCCCCGGGCUCAACCUGGGAACUGCAUUUGAAACUGGCGGGCUUGAGUGUGGCAGAGGGGGGUGGAAUUCCGCGUGUAGCAGUGAAAUGCGUAGAGAUGCGGAGGAACACCGAUGGCGAAGGCAGCCCCCUGGGCCAACACUGACGCUCAGGCACGAAAGCGUGGGGAGCAAACAGG
rnacentral:rRNA from 1 species